rnacentral:rRNA from 1 species
GAGUUUGAUCCUGGCUCAGAGCGAACGCUGGCGGCGUGCCUAACACAUGCAAGUCGAACGUGAACGGGGGCAACCCCUAGUAAAGUGGCGUACGGGUGAGUAACGCGUAGGUAAUCUACCCUAGAAUCUGGAAUAACCUGCCGAAAGGCGGGCUAAUACUGGAUAGAGCGAGGGAGGACGUAAUAGUCCUUUUCGGGAAAGGGAGGGAGCAAUCCCCCUUGUUCUAGGAUGAGCCUGCGUCUCAUUAGCUAGUUGGUAAGGUAAUGGCUUACCAAGGCUAUGAUGGGUAGCUGGUCUGAGAGGAUGAUCAGCCACACUGGAACUGAAACACGGUCCAGACUCCUACGGGAGGCAGCAGUGGGGAAUCUUGCGCAAUGGACGAAAGUCUGACGCAGCCACGCCGCUGUGAGUGAAGAAGGCCUUCGGGUUGUAAAGCUCUGUCGUGAGGGACGAAAAGCAUUUAGGUUAAUAGC